rnacentral:lncRNA from 1 species
UGGAGUUUGAGAGAGAGAGAGAGAGAGAGAGAGAGAGAGAAACAAGGGUAGAGAGAGAAGGAAGGUGGGCGGGGGGGCGCUCGAUUUGUCAAGGUCUGGGCUUUGUGCGCUAGAAAGCGAGGGGAGAUAGGGAGGGAUGAUGGGUUGGCUGCUUUUGCUUGGAAGACGGAAGCUUUCGGUUUGAAUUUUGAGGACAGAGAGAGAGAGAGAGAGAGAGAGAGAGACGGGAAAUGAACAGGGGAGAAGAGGGCGUCAGCAGAGGAGAGAGAGAGAGAUUCUCAGUGUGUCCGACCAGUCGACAUGGGGAAGGUGCGGCGGUUCCUACUUCCUUCCUCGGUGCUGCUCACGUGCU